CAGUCGCCGCGGUAAUACAGAGGGUGCGAGCGUUAAUCGGAUUUACUGGGCGUAAAGCGUGCGUAGGCGGCUUUUUAAGUCGGAUGUGAAAUCCCUGAGCUUAACUUAGGAAUUGCAUUCGAUACUGGGAAGCUAGAGUAUGGGAGAGGAUGGUAGAAUUCCAGGUGUAGCGGUGAAAUGCGUAGAGAUCUGGAGGAAUACCGAUGGCGAAGGCAGCCAUCUGGCCUAAUACUGACGCUCAUGCACGAAAGCGUGGGGAGCAAACAGGAUUAGAUACCCCUGUAGUCCCUGUCUCUUAUAC
rnacentral:rRNA from 1 species